rnacentral:rRNA from 1 species
GAUGAACGCUGGCGGCGUGCCUAAUACAUGCAAGUCGAGCGAACAGACGAGGAGCUUGCUCCUCUGACGUUAGCGGCGGACGGGUGAGUAACACGUGGAUAACCUACCUAUAAGACUGGGAUAACUUCGGGAAACCGGAGCUAAUACCGGAUAAUAUAUUGAACCGCAUGGUUCAAUAGUGAAAGACGGUUUUGCUGUCACUUAUAGAUGGAUCCGCGCCGCAUUAGCUAGUUGGUAAGGUAACGGCUUACCAAGGCAACGAUGCGUAGCCGACCUGAGAGGGUGAUCGGCCACACUGGAACUGAGACACGGUCCAGACUCCUACGGGAGGCAGCAGUAGGGAAUCUUCCGCAAUGGGCGAAAGCCUGACGGAGCAACGCCGCGUGAGUGAUGAAGGUCUUCGGAUCGUAAAACUCUGUUAUUAGGGAAGAACAAAUGUGUAAGUAACUAUGCACGCCUUGACGGUACCUAACCAGAAAGCCACGGCUAACUACGUG